ACAUUCCCCUAAUCCAUACACACUUCUACUGCAGCAAAAUAAAAAUUGGGUAUUUUUUUCAUACAUCUACACACCAUACUGUUGCAAUCUUAAGGUAGUGAUUUGCCAUUCCUUAGCCUUUCUCUUCAAUUUGUAGUUUUGAUAUACAAAGUUUUACUCUUCCCAUGUUUUAUCCUGAAUUUCUCUUGAUUUUUAACAUUUUCCUUCUAAUUCUACAUUUGGUUGAAUACAUUUAUACUGUUUUGAUUUUACAUUGUUCUAUCUGUGAUGUUUGGCCAAAAUGUGAUAAAAUUUUAAUUGAGGAUAAAAGCUUACCAAAAAUUGCAAAACCUAGAUCAUCAGAGCCAGUUAGAACCUUUUAAAAAACCUCAGAUUUUUUGUGUGUAUGACUAGAAAAUAAGAAAUGGAAAGAAAAAUAAGGGAAACUGAACUUGAAUCUGCAUGUCCUUGAGAGAAAUUUGGAGAAAAUAGUUGAAAGAUGAAGCCAUGUGUUCAGUAAAGAAACUCUUACACGGUGAUGAUGUACCAACAAGAAAACAUUAUAUAUGUACAUGGCAACAAGAAAAUGAUAAUCAUAACUAGUACAGAUAGAGCAAAAACGUUGCCAUCUUAGCUGAUAGGCGACACACCAUAAAAAUAUAUUGAGGCCUUAAGAUUACUAGAUUAUAUAUAUCUGACAGAGUUUUCGACCUUAAUACUAUAUGAUCUUAAUUGAAUUUGUCGGCACCAUGAAAGAUCGGUCAACUCACUUUGUAAAUUGUGAUCACUUAAGCUUAUUGAGGAUCAACAAAUUAAACAAAAAAAAAAAAGAAGAAAGGGACACAAGCUACGAUGAUUAGCAUAGGGACACCGUUCCAUUCAGUUGAAAGCAUGCAAUAGGGCCCUGUUUACCAAGGAUAAUGCGCAUACUCCCUUGCCACCUCUUUGUUAGUUACGACAUAACAAAUUUACCUUGCAGAGUAUUUUUAAAUUCAGGGUUGGACCACCUUAAAAGAAUUCACUAUCUUUGUUUUAAUCUUGUUUUCAUGUCAUAUACUUUUACAAUCUUUCCUUUUUUUCGCCCCCAUACCGUCACUCUGAAGGAACAUAGGGAUGUAAAAAUUGAGUCCUAUUAACUUGUUCCGAUCUAGGAUAAUAAUCUCUUCAUCCUUAAGAAGGGAAAUAAGAACCAUCAUCUCUUGAUGCCCAGUGAAUUGUGAAUUUGAGAGAGUUUGUAGACAAUCUAUUGAAAAUGUGAAUGUGAAUUUUAGCUCCAUUUAUUUGUGUCCUUCCAAAAUUUUCUAUUUCUGUAAAGCUCCAUUGCGAUUUAGCAUUUCAAAUAUUCAAUAUGAUAAUUUUGCACUGUGCAGCCACUUAAAGCUUUAGUUUUGAAAUGAAUGGGUAAAGCUGAAAGUAUAUUUGGUUUGCUUAAAUGCCUAAGAGCUUUUGUACACUAAUGACUCUGUCUUGAUUGAUGAUCUUACUCUCAGUGCUCUACAAUUGUUAUCCAACGACUUGAUCAUCGUCAGUACUUCAUGUUUGGUCCACUUGGACUGAAAUGGCCACUCAAUAAUAUUUUAUGUUUCUUUUGUAUCUUUACAAUGGAUACGGACAGAAGUUGCUAUAUGUUGUAUGCUUCAUUACGGGAAAUUUUUAAAUUUCAAUUGCAGGUCGUGCCUUCAGUUUCCACUCUUAUCUUUUUAAUUGGUUUUGCUCCACAAAUAGAAAGAUAAUUCAGGUCUUGGUUCCAUCUGUUUUCUUGAUAGUAGGGUAGUAGCUUUUCUCGAUAGUUAAACGAUGCAGCAUGAGCACGAGGAUUCAUUAGGUCGACCUUAAAUACAGAGAAGGCAUUCUCGAAGCAUUUUUUGAGAUGGUAAAGCUAGUGUUACAGGCACCAAGAGUUGACAAAUGAAGCCCAUAGAAGUGCACAUGUUAGAAAGAUUAUACUUAUGUGUCUGUAUUAGAUUUGUUUUAACUGUACCCGGAAAUAUAAAUACACUUUAAAAUCAUCAAUUAUUGUUACGAUUUAGUUAGUUUUGUAAAUAUGUUUAAUCAAUCAUUUAGUUAGCUAUUUCAAUUAAUUAGUUAGAAUGGUUAGUUAGCUAAUUCUGUUAUUGACAGCUCAUUAGUUUGUUAGAUAUUUUUUAUUUUUCUUGUAUAAAUACAUUGUCUCCUCAUAGUGUAAAUCAGUUGGUUGAUUCUUUCCA